rnacentral:rRNA from 1 species
UGGGGAAUAUUGCACAAUGGGCGCAAGCCUGAUGCAGCCAUGCCGCGUGUGUGAAGAAGGCCUUCGGGUUGUAAAGCACUUUCAGCGAGGAGGAAGGGUAGUGUGUUAAUAGCACAUUGCAUUGACGUUACUCGCAGAAGAAGCACCGGCUAACUCCGUGCCAGCAGCCGCGGUAAUACGGAGGGUGCAAGCGUUAAUCGGAGUUACUGGGCGUAAAGCGCACGCAGGCGGUUUGUUAAGUCAGAUGUGAAAUCCCGCGCUUAACGUGGAA